CCGGCAUCUUCCGGUAUUCCCCACCUGUGCAAAAACCCAUCUUUCAACUCAACAACAGUCUACUCAUCACCGGCAUUUACCGGUCUUCAAGACUUUCAUCUCAGUAUCCCACCGCAUCCCACCGCUGAAAACACCCAACCUCCUAUAGGUUUCCAGUCCCAAUUUCGAAUUCCAGGUUCCCAAAUCGUGUCUCUAUGUUUCCGUUUUUAACGAUGUCUUUGAUCUGAUUGUCCAAUUGGUGCUCUUUUUUCUACGAUAGUCUAUUUGUGUUCCGGUGGUAGCCUACGGUGGUUUUGGCCGCUUCUUAUGUGCUUUUGUUUGUUUAGGAAUGAUAAAAAUACCAUAUGUACGGAACGUGGAUGAAAGCGAGUAUUCACGAUACCCACGGAGAUAGUUACUAGACAUAUAUCCGAUUGGGCCCGUAUGUCAGGACAUAUUUUUACAACCGGGUUCUUUACAAGAGGAAGAAUAUGUUGGGGAACUGCAUGGUUUUGUUUGGGUGGGUCAUGGUUCCCACAUUAUUGAAAAGUUGCACUUAGUUAUCAACGAGCUCAUUAAGGAAAAGGAUAAAGAAAAAGAGAGGCUAAAUGGAAUUAUUGCAGGGUUGUUGGCUGAAAAAGAAAAACAUAAGGUGGAUAAAGAUGCUAUGCUCGAUACGAUGUCACAAAUUGAAGCUAUGUUAACAAGUACAAUUUGAAGAUAGGCUACAAACAUUUGAUUUUGAAUGUUUCGAUGUUUAUCGUGUUAGGAUUUUUUUAAUUAUUUUUAGUUAUUUGAUGUUUUAGCUGGUAUUUCUAUUAGAAUGUUUUAUAUGCUUUUGAUACAUAGAUGUUUUAUAUAAUUUUGGGUUUUCGUGAUCUUA